rnacentral:rRNA from 1 species
UGGGUAACCUGCCUCAAAGAGGGGAAUAGCCUCCCGAAAGGGAGAUUAAUACCGCAUAAUAUGUUUAAGUCGCAUGACUUUAACAUCAAAGGAUUUUCUUCUAGAAAUUCCACUUUGAGAUGGACCCGCGGCGCAUUAGCUAGUUGGUGAGGUAACGGCUCACCAAGGCAACGAUGCGUAGCCGACCUGAGAGGGUGAUCGGCCANAUUGGAACUGAGACACGGUCCAGACCUCUACGGGAGG